rnacentral:misc_RNA from 1 species
CUCCCAUCAAUAUCACAGGAAUGAAACAAAUCCUCAACCUCCUGUUCUUUCAGAUUGAGUUGUAGUUUCUGUAAGCAUCUCUUGAGUUCCUCACGGUCAAUAGCACCAUUUGCAUCUUCAUCAUAUUGUUCAAAUACGCCUCUGAUGUUUUUCAGUCCCUCUUUGAACCGAGGAAACCUCAAGAUUAUACUGUUAAUAGAUUUAAAAUUUGCAUGCCCUGAUGAACUUCUCUUUACUUCAAUCAUCUUCUUUUCAAGCUUUGCAUCUAGCCUCUUGUAUUUGUUUUGUGAACCACAAUGGCAAAACAACUCUCCUACUUUGGAUGACAAUGACUUCAGAGAAGGGCAAGAGUGAGAUGUGCCCAGUGAAUCUUUCAUAGUAGUUGGUGAGAGAGAAGAAGCAGCCAUCAUUGGUGACUGUUCAGAACUGAAAAUAUUGGGAGUUCUACUUCAUUAGGAACUUAUUACACAUCCACAGUUCUCGAUCUUACUCUCUACUAUAUUUUGAAGGAAACCGAUGGCUAUUUCUUGAAGCAGGUGACAUCGCGAGGUCAAUGGAAGGAUUUUUUAGUGUUCCCAUCGAUUGGAUUGGCAGGAAAUUGUUUGGUUUAUGUUUUCUCUCUCCUCUCCUCUCCUCCCUUUUUCUCUAUCAUCUUUCUUUCUUUCUCUAACUUUUGUCAAAGUGCUUGCUGACAUUAUCCUCCAUUAAAAAUGGUGCCAUUCAGUCUUCUCUGAUCAUCUCCUCCACAACAUCUUCUUCUUCCCUUUCUUCUCUCUUUUCUUUUAUUGAAACAGCUUCUUUCUUUUUUUCGAU